CAAAAUGGAGCUUGUUUAAGCAAUUCACUUACACUGAAUAGAAGCUGUGAAAGUCGGUUAUUUUGA
rnacentral:tRNA from 1 species